GCGGGUGUAGCUCAGUUGGAUAGAGCGCGUGGCUUCGGACCACGAGGCCGGGGGUUCGAGUCCUCCCGCCCGCACCA
rnacentral:tRNA from 1 species